rnacentral:lncRNA from 10 species
GGAGGAGGAGGUGGAUUCCAAGGCUCCUAAUGGGGAUGCUGGCCUUGACCCUGAGAAGGGUCUCCUCCCAGACUGGAGGGAAGUUUGAUGCAAGGGUAGAUGAUACAGGAGUUUGAGUCAGCUCAUAGUUGAUUGCCUCAAUUUUUUUAAUGAUGUAGGAGGUAAAGUGGUGUUCUGAAGGAGAUGGGAGCUGUGGAUGGGGUCUCAGAAAGGAGAUAGCAUCUUGCUAUGCUGCCAAGGUUGAUCUCAAACUCCUGGGCUGAAGUGAUCCUCCAGCCUUGGCCUCCAAAAGUGCUAGGAUUACAACAGGCAUGAACCACCAUGCCCAGCUCUUUGUGGGAUUUCAGGAAAGCUAGAAGACUGGAGGGAGCUACUGAGAGGAAUGUGAGAGGGAGCUGACAUGAGACAAUACAAAAUCCCUGUCGCAGUAUUGUUAUGAGGACAAAAUAAUGUUGCAAGAAGUCAGGGACACCAAACAGAGGGACCAGCUGAAGCCAUGGCAGAAGAACGUGGAUAGUGAAGAUUUCAUGGACAUUUAUUAGUUCCCCAAAUUAAUACUUUUAUAAUUUCUAUGCCUGUCUUUACUGCAGUCUCUGAACAUAAAUUGUGAAGAUUUCAUGGACACUUAUCACUUCCCCAAUCAAUACCGUCGUGAUUUCCUAUGCCUGUCUUUACUUUAAUCUCAUAAUUCCAUCAUCUUUGUAAGCUGAGGAGGAUGUAUGUCGCCUCGGGACCCUGUGAUGAUUGCUUUAACUGCACAAAUUGUUUGCAGAGCAUGUGUGUUUGAACAAUAUGAAAUCUGGGCACCUUGAAAAAAGAAUAGGAUAACAGCAAUGUUCAGGGAAAAAGAGAGAUAACCUUAAACUCUGACCACCGGUGAGCUGGGUGGAACAGAGCCAUAUUUCUCUUCUUUCAAAAGCAAAUGGGAGAAAUAUCGCUGAAUUCUUUUUCUCAUCAAGGAACAUCCCUGAGAAAGAGAAUGUGUCCCUGAGGGUAGGCCUCUGAAAUGGCCGCUUUGGGGGAUGGCCGUCUUUUAUAGUCAAAGCUGUAGGGAUGAAAUAAGCCCCAGUCUCCCAUAGUGCUCCCAAGGCUUAUUAGGACGAGGAAAUUCCUGCCUAAUAAAUUUUGGUCAGACUGGUUGUCUGCUCCCAAAACCUGUCUCCUUAUAAGAUGUUAUCAAUGACAAUGCGUGCCCGAAACUUCAUUAGCAAUUUUAAUUUCACCCCAGUCCUGUGGUCCUGUGAUCUCACCCUGCCUCCAUUUGCCUUGUGAUAUCUUAUUACCUUGUGAAGCAUGUGAUCUCUGUGACCCACACCCUAUUCGUACACUCCCUCCCCUAUUGAAAAUCACUAAUAAAAACUUGCUGGUUUUACGGCUCAGGGGGCAUCACGGAACCUGCUGAUGUGUGAUGUCUUCCCCGGACACCCAGC